UUCAUUGGAGCGAAGUGGGUGAAAAAGUCGCCCUUGGUCCGGAUGUGCGAGAAGCGGAAGAAAAGGUCCGCAUUGCUCGUGAGAAGCUGGUGACGGCACAAUCCCGGCAACGAAGCUAUGCGAAUAAGCACCGGAAGUAUUUAGAGUUUGCGGUUGGCGAUUCGUCGAGCCGGUACGAAGAUAUUGAAGAAACAAGCUAAAUUGGUACAGAUGGCGGCAGCUCGCGGUGUAGGUGUCUAAAAAUUGUGAAAAUUGAAUCGGGGCUUCUCAGCAUUCCUACAAGGUGGGGGGUGUUGUCCGGAAACACCGGAUCUCUUUCUAUGUCUAUGUCACUUCUUUGAGCAUGUUGAUAAUAUUGUACUCAUGCAUGUAGGGUAAUGAGAUAAAUGUUGAUUGUAUCAAUUAUCUGCUUAUGAACAUUGCAAAUAUAUUGUAGAGCCAUGAGAACGAGAAAAUGAACAACCCUAUAUGUAUGUGAAAGUGAGAAAAGACUUGAUCCAUAGUAAAUAAAGGUGACAUUAACUCUAGUGACAUGAUUGGCACCGAGGACAUAUUGUGCUAGAUAAGGUAAAACCUUAAAAGCAUUGUGAAAUAUUGACUAUCCCAUUGGUGGACAUUGUGGUAAGUGUGGCCCUAGAUAAUGUGACCUUGUGACA
rnacentral:lncRNA from 1 species